GCAGCAGAUUUCUGUUCCUAGCUCCCUGGGUGGAGAAACCAAGGGCUGUGAGUCAACUCGACAGCUCAGGCUUCCCUCUGGUUCUGGUGUAUCGCUCCGGAGAAAGGAGGAUGUAAUAGCUUUUCAGGGUGUUUGCUCUGAAGUUCAUAUGAUAAAGGAUGAGCUUUCUGUUUUCUAUUGUGUUUCGUCAGGGAUGGCUCUAUUCAGACCAACAGUCUUUUGGGACUUGAGAGAUUCCGGAGAACUGUUCUCUCUGACUGAAAUGACCUUCCUCUCUCCUUUCUCCCAUCCUUUUGCGGAACCUGCAAGUCCACAAUUAGAGUUAUUAUUUGGAGUCUCCAAGGACGCUCUCUGAGGCAAAAAUACCCUGGGGAGAAGAGCCCAUGAACGACUAGCUGUCCAUGCAUCAUCUAGGAUGGAUCACUCACAUGCUGGCAAUUAAUGCUGGCUGUUGGCUGGAAGCUCAGCUGGAGCUGUUGCCUGUAACAAUUACACACUGCCGCUCCAUGUGGCUAGAACCUUCUCGCAUCAUGACGCUUGGGUUCUGAGAGAAAGCAUCCCAGUCCCCUUGAGAUCUACAUCUGGAACUGGCACAGCACCAUUUCUGCUGCAGAUUCCAGUUUUAUCCAGAAAGGCUCAUCACCUGUUCUUUCCUGUUUGAGAAUGAAUGCCUUUUUGCCUGCCUAUUGGAAGAGCAACUUGACUAGAAUUCCAAGGAACUAGGGGGAAUAUGAUCCCUUAUAGUUGUUUAACCUCCUUGCAGCUCUACAUUCCUUGUCUUAUCAGCUCUCUUAUCCUCAAGCAGAUUUUAAAAAGAACUGGAGGUUGCUAUUACAUAGCUUGAGGAACAUUACAUUUUCAUCUUUUCAAACUACUCUUCUCUCAUCCUCAAAGGUGAUCUCUUCCAGGAAGCUUAAUUCCAACCAGGCGAUUGACAAGAAAGAGGGGUUGGAUAUGGAAACUUCUCACUUUUAUUAUGAGUUGGCUUUUCUGUCUUCAUACUAUGUAAUCUACUAGUGAACUUGUCUUUAAAAUAUGUCACAAUGUAUGACCCACUACAAGAAACCAUAAUUCCCAAGGUUCCUAAGAAGAAAAAUUAGAGAAGUAAAAUGGCAUAUGAUAUGUAAUUCAAUGUUAUGGAGAGCAAACAUUUUAAUUUUUAUGCAUUAACUGUACUAAAUGUUGUUACUAUUGCCAACCCCUCUGACAUUUGGGACAUGUUAAUUGAAUCUAAUUAUAGAGUGACUGAAGCUGAUGAUACUGUGUGAGAAAGCCUUGUUUAAAACAUUCCUGAGUUCUGUUAAAUGUAUACUUUCAAAAAAUCAAUGGAUGUCAAUUCCCAUAAAGAAAUGUGAGACACCGUAGUUUACUCACAUAUGAGUUUGAUUUUCCUGUGGCAUAUCUUGUUUCCACAAACAGAAAUAUCUCAUUGAUUUGGAAGUCACCCAUCAGAAUGCCCUUCCCUGUUCCUGAGGACCUAAUAGAAAUAGCAGAGCUUCUCAGAUGUGGUAAGAACUCCAAAAAAUCCACUACAUCUUGAGGAAUAUUACUCUGAGAUUUUGGACUGUCUGGAAAGUUGCUGCAACACCAAUAAAUGUUUAAAUAUUUAACUAUAAUUUAUUCCAUCUGUUUCACUGAGAAUUAUCUUAACAUUUGAUAAUUAUUGAGGAGAGCAUUUUGAAUUUUUGUUGCCUGUGUGGCAAAAUGAUUUUUGAGGUAUUUUUGUUUGUUUGUUUCUACUAUAAGAGUUCCAUCUUUAUUCCAAGCUGUUGGCCACUUUUUGGGUUUCUGUAUAACUCAGGAUGUUGUGGAGGGAUUGCACUACUGAGUAGGAACCAGGGUGAUGGCCACAGAAUGAGGAAGGUAGAAUAGAUAGCCUGGGCCAACUUUUGUUUAUGGCUCUUGCCUUUUACAUUGUUUUUUCAAAGCUGGUCUUAGGACUACAUUCUUUCCUUCUUUUGGCAUGCUUUCCCCUUGGGUUCAUCCUUCUGUGGAUUUUUAAAGUAACAGAGAACAACCAUUAAAAUAGGUGCAGAUAGCAACAGGGCAGAGGUGGCAUUCUGAGUUAUUUUAGAUUACGGGUUGUGGAACAAAGUAUUAAAGUCAUUCA